GCAGCUAUAAUCUCAGCAAGGCUUGGGAACCAGCAUUAGAUCUAAGUAAGAAGAUACUCGCCAAACACAAUUAUCUGGCAACCAGGGCAGCCAAAGAAAUCACACAUACGCUGAUGCCAUCACCUCCAAGGCCGAAAAUGCGUGCCCUCGGGUACGGACCUGACCGCCAAAAUAUUGUGCCCAUCUGACGCUAUGAUCCAGCAGUACACCCAUGGACUCUUUAGUGAACAACCUUGAAAAAGGCUUCAACAUGGUACAUCAUCCAGUCCUACUUGAAAAGAUACUACAAAAUGGUAAAGAAGGUACUGCUCACAGCUGACUCUACAGACACAUAAAUGGACAGAGGAUGUUAGCUGAAGAUCGUAACUAUACAGUACCCACUCUGGUUAGGUUGUAUGCUCGCAACCAAGUACACUACGAAAAAUGUACGGGGUUCUUCAGGAAUCAACAUUUGGUUUUAUAUUGUUCAUAUUUAUUUAUAAAUGAUCACCAAGACUACAUUUCUUUCAGUGUGUUGAUGACAUAGACGUUACUGUAAAAUGGCAGGAAUGGUAUAGUACAAGAUAAACAGCAACGGAAAUGA